ACACACGGGCAGCGUGUCCUGGGCUCAGCCCGGGGGUCUCCAGGAGCAAUGUGGGGGCUACAGGGGGAUGUGCAGGAUGAGGACUCGCUCUGCCCCUUCAUGCCACGGGCAAUGGCAUGACCUGGGUACCCCAGAGAUGUGUGGAAAGUCACCCAAUGCCACCAGCUGCUCCUUGGCACCAGAUGAGGGUUUUAAAGAAGGCUUUGAAAUCCCCAGGUCUGAGCUCAGCAGAGGCUGUGAGAGCAACUGAGGGGAAUUCCAGCACAAAGAAAGGGGAAGGAGCAGCUGUCCAUCCUUGGGAUCCAGCCCAACCUGCUCUCUGGAGCCCUUUCCAAGGCCAGACUCCUGAUCCUCCUCGAACAUCUUGGAUUAUGAACAGAAACUUGGUUGUUUCUGGGUCUGCUUUGAUGUCCGGGUUCCCUAACGAAGCCCUUUGCAGCAUGAGAAUGAGGAUUGUGUAACGAUUCUCCCAGAGAUAACGGCUCUGCAGGAGCUGCCAGCCGGGAGCGCUGGCACCGAUGGAAUUGGCAACGGAGGAGCCCAGCCUUGGGAUUUUUUUUUUUCCAAGUUUUAGUAUUUAAUAAUAAAGAUUUUGAUUUCUAAUCCCAGAAAA